CCCCCUCACCCCGAUGGGUCGGGCGGGAUCGUCCAGAGAACCAAAGAACGACGCCUCCCUGAAGGAGUCUCAAACCAGCCGAACCAGUAUCUCCUGACUUUUUAUUAUAAUAUCUUCGCUCCCAGACAAUUAGAGGACGGUUCCCACGCUGUGAUUCAACCUCGCGUCGGUUGUCGCGGUGACUUUUCCCGCCCCCCCCCAAAAAAAUUGGCCCGCGGCCACAAGAAAAGAACACCGAGGCAGAAGACAUUUAUUCAUCGUUAGUAUACCCCUAAAGGUUCCUUUCCGGUAUCGAACCUGUGAAAGCCGGCGGCGGGGGUCGGGGGGUCGGCGAAGACGCCUGGACGCAGGGAAACAACCGUGCUGGAGGUGGCAGGACAGGUUUGCGGAGCCCCGGGGGCCUUCGGCUGCUGGUCCCUCCUCACUUGGCCCCCGCAGCCCUGCUGCUGCACAUCAACCAUGCAAGUUGAACUCAUCACCGUGUGCCAUCGAUUUGAGCCUCCUCCUCCUCCUCCUCCUCCUCCUCACGUUGAGUUUAAGGUCAUGUUGGGUCCGUUGAAGGUCAUCUGCUGAAAUCGGACCCGACACUCACACCCACAGAAGAAGGACACAAGAAGAAG
ensembl:lncRNA